UUAUUAGCGUUUUAAUGAGACGUGACUAUAAUGAUUAUAUUGGUAAAGUUUGAAACAAAUCUAAAAAUGUACGCCCAUACUUAGGAGCUACAAGGUAUUUAGUGCGAAUACACAUUUCAUAGAGAUUACAAAAGUAUUUAAAUAGAAAAUUAUCUAUUAUAUUAAUAAACCUUAAUAUUCCUAAAUAUUCAGUAUAUAACCUAAAUAUUCAGUGGAACCAUCUUUAUCAUUUAUUAUGUGUUUAAGCUGGUUAUUUAUACUGGAUACCAAUCCUUUAUUGAAUGUAUACGUUUACAGCAAGUGCGUGUAACUUCUACAUACAUUUUCAGAUUGUUUCAAAUGUUUCAUAUAAUGCAUAGAAUUUAUACAUAAAAGCUUAAUAUAAUGUCCAAAUAUGUAUUUUCAUCGGAUAAAUAAGUAUUGCAAUAUUUUGUUUCAUAUGAUACUAGACUUGGAUAGCUCGUAGAAUAAAUUUCCACUCGAUUUGGUUUGUACUGCAUUCUAGAAGUUUCUAAAAUGGUUAAUGGUAUGUAAUUUUCCUGUUUUUUCUUUUUCGUCGUAUAUCUCAAAGGAAACCAGCGCCGAUUAAAAAACCUCAUAACAAAAGAAUGCAUAAUGAGACAAGACUAAACUAGAACGCAGUUACUAUCGCUUAUUUCCAGUUAUUUCCUGCAUUUAAGUUAGGUAUAAUAAUACCGUUGCUUUUUUUAGAAUACCAUGUAAUCGUAAAAUUCAUGAGUUCCUGUCAGUCUUUUUGUAAAAAUGACGCGCUCGAUCAUUCCUGUACUUAAUUAUAGGGAAUGAGAUAAACCCAUCGCGAUCUAUUUGUGCGUUACGUGGAUGUAUGAAAGUGUGCCUGCCAAAAUGUGGUGUUGCCAACUAUAAGAAGGAUAGAAAAUUCAUAAGAUUACAUAAUUGCGUUCCAAAGGAAAAUAGCUUCAUUUUCUACGUAAAUUCUUUAAUUGCCAAUCUAAGCAAUAUUUAUAAUUCUAAAAGCAUAUUUUUUUUAAGAAUAAUCUUAUACUUUAUUUAAUCUCUAGUAUAUUAUCUAUACUUACUAUCCAAUCUUAUAUCACUAUUCUAUUUAAAUUAUUAUUAAACGUAUUUCUGUAACAAACAUAUUUGUAUGCUAACAAAAAAUACGACCGAUUCAGAAUAUUUAAGAAUAAUUGAAAAGUCGUGAAUUGCGAUCACACGUGAUGUUACAUUAAACAAAUGGGACAGCUUAAUCCCUGCAAUGUAAUUAUGUAUAUUAAUAUGUAUAAUAGAUGGAUUCCGUUAUGCUAAAUAGUCAAACUGUUUUAUCGACUUGACUUACAUUAUCAUAAGAAUUACUCAAAAUUUAUAAGCAAAAUAUUCCAAUGUUAUAAACAUUAAUGACGUCAUGUUACUAAAUACUCUAUGUGUUUCAGAAAUCGAUAGAAUCACAAUGAAUGGAACAACGGAACGUAUGAAAUGGAGAUUAAAAUAAAUUGUACAGCAGCUAAUUCAAAGUCCUCAUCAUGAUUAAGAUCACAUCAAAGUGCAAUCCCGCACUUGGAUCAGAUUUAGCAAUUGCACUCAUGAAAAUGUAAUCAACUGUAUACAUAAUUGAUACGCGUGACUGGUGCCGGGUGAAGGCAAAAUACAUACCGUAUAAAAAUGCUAAUGUCUUAAGAUGUUUCUUUUUUAAUGCGACAGAAUAUUCUAAAGUGGCUGACACUAGUUGAAGAGAAAAAGUUCAAAGAUUCGCAAUUAAUUCAACGCAUUCCAAACACUUGAAGGCGGGAAUUCAGGUUCAUGAACGUGCGACUCUUAUCGAGGCCUGAAAGUGCGAUGUCGCCCUAUUUUACACGCCAUUGUUCGACGUCUUUCAUACAAAAUGACCUUUAAAAGAGGCAAAAUCACCGGAAGGAUCUUGUCUUCGAGUCUUUGUACGCAUACAAUAUACAAUUGAAUGAAAAGCAUAUUUCAUAUCUUCGCCAACAAGUCAUAUAUUUGUGCGACUCUAUAUGGACUUUAAAAUCUUAGACAAUAUUUAUAUCUUCUUUUUUAAAAGAAAGAAUAUUUCACAAUAAUACAAAGCUUAUGUUACUCAUAAAUAUAUUUUUUCUGUCUUCAGUUUUUCAGGAAGAUGCAUGUUUAUUUCAUGUCUGCCUGAACAAGAGAAUGACAUCAAUCUUUUUUGCUACAAAGUAAUUAAAUUCCAGUAUAUUUCGGGAUGGAGACCUUCGAGUUUAUACGUUUAUUGUAUCACUGUUAUCAGACAAGACAAAUGUCUUUUUUCUUGUUUACGAUAUCCGCGCAGCUGCUGGCUUAAUGUGCACGCGCGAAUACUCGCGCUACUUCGCCUUAAUAACGUAACAUAAAUCAUUACACAAAUAUAUACCGAGUUCAGAUAUAUUCGUUGUUACAGAAUUAACGAACAUCGUUAGAGGAAAAUGAAACGAGAGAGGAACUGCCAGUAUAAAUACCUAGUAUUGUGGUGAACAGUAAAUGUCCACUGAUUUCCUUCCCAUACCACAGCUAUCGAUCCUUGCGGGAUUUAUUAUUCGACACGUGUGACUC
rnacentral:lncRNA from 1 species